CUAAGGUUAAAGUUUUCGUUGUAUAUUAGUGCGACCCCUCCACCCCUUUUAAGCGGACGGGCAAUAUGCGCAUGUGUAAAGUUAGGAGGACAUGCCUCAUUUAGCGCAAAAAAGUCGUUUGGUUUAAGCCAGGUUUCACUGAGACCGAUGACGUUAAGAUUGUUGUCUCUGAUAAUAUCAUUAACUAAUAACGUUUUGGGAGACAAUGAUCUUAUGUUUAAAAAACCUAUAUUAUAUGUUUAAUCUGUGUUUUGUGUGUUAAGUGUGUUUCAGUGUGUUUAAUCCGUGUUUUGUGUAUGUUCUUGUGGAUGUUUAAGGUUGUUCAAACGUGUUUGUGUUUUUAAUUGUGUUUAUGUGUGUUUAAGAGUUUUUAUCUUUGUUUUGUGUCGGUUUUUGUGUGUUUAAGUGUGAUUGUGUGUUUAACUGACAUUUUGUGUUUAUGUGUGUGCUUUGUGAUUUCUAUCUGUGUUUUGUGUAUGUUCAUGUGUUUGUAAUUGCCUGUUUAAGUGUGUUUUAGUAUGUGUUAAAGGUUGUGUUACUUUGCAUUUAAGUGUGUUUUGUGUAUGUACUUGUGUGUGUUGAUGUGUGUUGUUUGUGUGUUUAUUUUGUGUUUAAGUGUGUUUUAUCUGUGUUCUCUGAAUGUCAUUGUGUUUUAUCUGUGUUCUCUGUAUGUCCUUGUGUGUUAUUGUGUGUUUUAUCUGUGUUCUCUGUAUGUCCUUGUGUGUUUGUGUGUAAUUGUUCGCUUGUGUUUUUAUUUUGUGUUUGUGUGUGUUUAAGUGUGUUUUAUCUGUGUACUGUGUAUGUCCUUGUGUGAAUGUGUGUUUAGUGUGUGUUAUUGUUUGUUUGUGUGUUUAAGUGUGUUCCAUAUGUGUUGUGUGUUCGUUCAUGUGUGUUUUUGUGUGUUUGAUGUGUUUUGUGUAUGUUGAUGUGCAUGUUGGUGUGUUUAAGUGGAAUUAGUGUGUGUUUAAGUGAGUGUGUUUCUUUGUUGUUUGUACUUCUGUGUUUAAAUGUGUGUUUUUGUGUCUGAGUUUACCUGUGUUUUGGGUUUGUUCACGUGUGUAUUAGUGUGUGUUUUAUGUAUUUUUACUGUGUGUUAAGUGAGUUGGUUUUGUGUUCGUGUAUGUUCAUGUAUGUUUAAGUGUAUUGCGUUGUAUGUGUGUUUUGUUUGUUUGUUCAUGUUGUGUGUUUAAGUGGGUUUUGUGUAUGAUUGAGUUUUUCAUUUGUGUUUUGUGUACAAUUUAAGUGUUUUUUUAAGGUGUUUAGUGUGUCUAUGUGUGUGUUUUAUCUGUGUUUUGUGUACGUUCAUAUGUCUAAGUGUGUUUAGUGUGUGUUGAUGUGUCUAAGUGUGUUUUGUCUGUGUUUUGUGUAUGUUCUUAUGUGUGUUUAUUAUGUUUUAUGUGUGUUUUGUGUACGUUCUUAUGUGUUUUUAGUAUUUUUAUGUGUGUUUUGUGUAUGUGCAUGUGUGUGAAGUGUUUUUCUGUUUAAAUGUGUUAAGUGUGUGUUCAUGUGUUUAAGUGUUUAAAUGUGUUUCGUUUGUUCGUGUGUGUUAUUGUUUGUUUUAGAGUUUUGUGUGUUUAAGUGUGUUUUAUCUGUGGGCUCAUGUGGGUUAAGUAGGUGUGUUGAGUGUUUAUGUGUAAGUGUCUUUCGUGUGUGUUUAUGUGUGUGUUUAAGUGUUUUAUCUGUGUUGUGUGUUUGUUCAUCCAUCCAUUUUCUACACCUUCUCCCUUUUUCCUGUGUGUGUUAUUGUGUGUUUAAGUGUUUGUGUGUUUCAGCGUAUUUAGAGUGUGUUUGUGUGUGUUUUACCUAUUUUUGUGUGUGUUCAUAUGUGUGUUUUUGUGUGUUAAUGUGUGUUUAAGUGUGUUUUACCUGUUUUGUGUAUGUUCAUGUUUGUGUUUAAGUCUGUGAGUUUGUGUCUGUUGAUGUGUGUGUUUAGUGUGUGUUAAAGUGUUUUUGUGUUUUAAUGUGAGUCUGAUUGAUUUAUAAUUUGUUUAAGUGUAUUUUAUCUGUGUUUUGUGUACAUUCAUGUGUGUGUGGUUUUCUGUGUGUUAUUGUGUGUUGAUGUGUUAGUGCGUCUUGCAGCAUGUGCACCAUCCAGUGUGUCGGCAAGUGUUGUGUUGCAAGUUGGUCAUGUGUGUGCUUAUGUGUUAAUGUGUGUUUGCGUGUUAAGUGUGUGUUUGUGUGUUAGUGUGUGUGUGUGUUUUGUCUGUGUUAUUGUGUUAAGUGUAGUUUGCGUGUGUUUAUGUUUCGAGAUGGUUGGUAUGUGUUAAUUGUGGGGUUGUGCGUGUCCGUGUGUGUUUAGUGUUUUGGUGUGUGUCUGUGCAUCUUACUGCGUGUGCAUCGUCCAGUGUGUCAGCAAUGUUGAAUUGGAUGUUGGUUGUGUGUGUGUGUGUGUUUUGUAUGUGUUGAUUUGUGUUUAAGUGUGUCUAAUCUGUGUUUUGUGUAUGUUAUUGUGUGUUUAAGUGUUUUUGUUCGUUUAUUGUGUGUUCAUAUGUAUUUAAGUUGGUUUUCUGUGUUUCGUGUACAUUCUUGUGUGUGUUGUUUUAUUGUGUUGUUGUAUUUAGUGUCUGUUCAUGUGUGUUAAUAUGUGUUAGUGCAUCUCGGCGCAUGUGCAUCAUCCAGUGUGUCGGUGAGUGUUGUGUUGCAUGUUGGUCGUGUGUGUGUUUUGUCUGUGUUUGUGUAUUUAAGUGUGUUUCGUAUAUGUUUAUGCUUGUGUUGAUGUGUGUUUAAGUGUGCUUUUAUCUGUGUUAUGUGUAUAUGUCCAUGUGCAUGUUAUUGUGUAUAUAAGGGUUUUUGUGUGUUUAAUCUGUGUUUUGUGUACGUUCUUGUGUGUGUGUAUGUGUGUUAUUACUGUGGGUUUAUGAUUGAUUAAGUGUGUUUAUCUGUUUUGUUAAUGCUCAUUAUAUGUUUGUGCGUUUAAGUGUGUUUUUGUGUGUUUUUACAUUUUUUGUGUACGUUCUUGUGGGUGUUGUUUUGUGUGUUUUUGUGUGCGUUGACAUGUAUUUUGUGUAUGUUCUUGUGUGUGUUGUUCUGUAUCUGUGUGUGUGUUUUUGUGUGUCAGUAUGUGUCAAUCCAUCUUGCAGCAUGUAUGGUGUGUGUGUGUGCUUGUGUCUGUUUAUGUGUUAAGAGUGUGUUUCCUGUGUGCUGAUGUGUGUUAGUGUGUGUUUUUGUGUUAGGUGUUUUUUUGUGUUUACGUUGAGUGUGUGUGUGUUUUAAUGUGUGUCUAAGUGUGUUUUUUUUCUGUUUUGUGUAUGUUCCUGUGUGUGUUUAGUGUGUGUCUAAUUGUGUUUCAUCUCUGUUUUUUGUACGUUUUUGUGUGUAUAUAUGUUUAAGUGUGUUUUCUGUAUUUUGUGUACAUUCUUGUGUGUGUUGGUUUGUGUUUGUGUGUUUAGUGUGUGUUUAUUUGUGUUAAUAUGUGUCAGAGCAUAUUGCAGCAUGUGCAUCAUCCAGUGUGUCGGCGAGUGUUGUGUUGCAUGUUGGUCGUGUGUGUGUGUUGAGUGUGUGUUUACUGUGUGUUGAUGUGUGUUUUUGUGUUAGGUGUGUUUAUGUUUGUGUGUGUUGUGACUUUUAUUGUGUGUUAAUGUGUGUUUAGUGUGUUAGUGUGUGUCGGUGCAUCUUGCUACAUGUGAAUUGUCCAGUGUGUCAGCGACUGUUGUGUGUGUGUUUGCGUGUGUGUGUGUGUGUGUUCCUGUGUGUGUUUAAGUGUGUUUAGUGAGUGUUUAAGUGUUUAGUGUAUGUCUUAUUGUGUUUUAUUUCUGUUUUGUGUACGUUAUUGUGUGUUGAUAUGUUUUUAACUGUGUUUUCUGUGUUUUGAGUACGUUUUUGUGUGUGUUUGUGUGUUUAGUUUGUGUUUAGUGUGUUAAUAUGUGUCAGCGCAUCUCGCAGCAUGUCCAUCAUCCAGUGUGUCGGAGAGCGUUGUGUUGAAUGUUUGCCGUGCUUGUGUGUGUUAGUGUGUUUACUGUGUGUUGAUGUGUGUUUUUGUGUUUUGUGUGUGUUAAUGAUUAUGUGUGUGUUGUGGCUAUUAGUGUGUGUUAAUGUGUGUUUAGUGUGUUAGUGUGUGUCGGUGCAUCUUGCUACGUGUGAAUUGUCCAGUGUGUCCGCAAGUGUUGUGUUGCAUGUUGGGUGUGUGUGUGUGUGUGUGUGUUUGUGUUCCUGUGUGUGUUUAAGUGUGUUUAGUGAGUGUUUAAGUGUUUAGUGUAUGUCUUAUUGUGUUUUAUUUCUGUGUUGUGUACGUUAUUGUGUGUUGAUAUGUUUUUAACUGUGUUUUCUGUGUUUUGUGUAUGUUCUUGUGUGUGUUUGUGUGUUAAGUGUGUGUUUAGUGUGUUAAUAUGUGUCAGCCCAUCCCCGCAGCAUGUCCAUCAUCCAGUGUGUCAGAGAGCGUUGUGUUGAAUGUUUGCCGUGCUUGUGUGUGUUAGUGUGUUUACUGUGUGUUGAUGUGUGUUUUUGUGUUAAGUGUGUUUUGUGUGUGUUAAUGUUUAUGUGUGUUGUAGCUAUUAGUGUGUGUGAAUGUGUGUUUAGUGUGUUAGUGUGUGUCGGUGCAUCUUGCUACGUGUGAAUUGUCCAGUGUGUCCCCAAGUGUUGUGUUGCAUGUUGGGUGUGUGUGUGUGUGUUCCUGUGUGUGUUUAAGUGUGUUGAGUGAGUGUUUAAGUGUUUAGUGUAUGUCUUAUUGUGUUUUAUUUCUUUUUUGUGUACGUUAUUGUGUGUUGAUAUGUUUUUAAGUGUGUUUUCUGUGUUUUGUGUACGUUCUUGUGUGUGUUUGUGUGUUUAGUGUGUGUUAAUGUGUCAGCGCAUCUUUCAGCAUGUCCAUCAUCCAGUGUGUCGGCGAGUGUUGUGUUGCAUGUUUGUCGUGAUUCUGUGCUAGUGUGUUUACUGUCUGUUGAUGUGUGUUAGUGUGUGUUUUUGUGUUAGGUUUGUUUUGUGUGUGUUAAUGUUUAUGUGUGUGUUGUGACUGUUACUGUGUGUUAAUGUGUGUUCAGUGUGUUAGUGUGUGUCGGUGCAUCUUGCUAUGUGUGUAUCUUCCAAUGUGUCAGCCAGUGUUGUGUUGCAUGUUGGGUGUGUGUGUGUGUGUGUGUGUGUGUGUGUGUGUGUGUGUGUGUGUGUGUGUGUGUGUGUGUGUGUGUGUGUGUGUGUGUGUGUGUGUGUGUCCGUGAGAAGAACACUCGGGUGCAGGAGGCCUCUGCAGUAUUCUUGUGCCUUCCUGUUUAAUCACAUUUGCGGAGCUUCCCAAAACGCGGAGGAGGCAGAUGACCUGGAGUCGGGCGCUCAUAUGCUCACUGGUCACAUCUCUUCCCACGUGGCCACGCCCCCUCAGGACUGUGCCGCUCCUGGCUGUCUGUCACCGCUCAGCUCCAACUCCGGAAAGGAUCCAGCUCCGGGUUUUGUGCGAGAUCAGCACAGCCUGGAUCUUACCUGGAAUGUCAGCCUCUUACGUAACACACACUUUUUUGGGCCUCCGUCUGAGCACACACACACACACACACACACACACACACACACACACACACACACACAGACACACACUCCUGUAUUUGUGACCUUCUUGAGACCCGAGAAAAAAGCCUACCUCUUUAGAACCACGCUUCCUAGGUAUAUAAAGAUGUGUAUUUACAACAUUAAUAAUAUAUACACAUACUAUGCAAGUAUAAAAUAGCUUGUUGUGAAAAAUGAGUUGGAAUUUCACAAAAAAAAAGGUCAAAAUUUCACAAGAAAAACUGAACAUUUUGGCAGUAUUAUAAUAAAAGACGUCACUUUACUCAACAAAAGUCAAAAUUGACAAGAAAAACAACAUCUGUGCAAUAUUGUGAUAAAAGUUGACAUUUUAUUAAAUAAUAGUCACAAUUUUACAAUAGAAGCUUGAAAUUUAGGCAAUUUUAUAAAAAGAGCCGUAAUUUUGUUUGACAAAAGUCACAAUUUUAUAAGAAAACUUUAAAAUGUUGGCAAUGUUAUAACAAUAAUUGGAAUUUUACUUGGCAAAAUUAUGACAAAAGUCAUCAUUUUACUCAAAAAAUGUCACUAUUUUAUAAAAAAAAAAAAAAAAAAAAUAGGCAAUAAUGUGAUAAAAGUCAGAAUUUCAAAUAAAAAAGUAAUAAUUCAUGAGAAAAUUUGCAAUAUUACGGAAACAGAAAGAAUAUGAGAAGUUGUUCCCAUUUUUAUAAGAAAGAAGUCGACAGAUUGUGAGAAAAAGACUGCUUGUAGUUUGUUUGUUUCUCCCGAAUUUUUUGUUUGUAAUUGGUUUUUAAUCUUCAUUAUUUAUUUCAAGUUAUUACAGUACCUCUCUAUAGAAUUUUUUUUAAUUUUUUAUUUAUUUUUUUUUUUUUAACGAAGGGGGCACAUUUCAAUUUUUGAUAGACACUUGUUAUUUCAUAUGUUGACCAGACAGGUAGCACUUCAAAUAUUUUUAACACACACUUGUUAUUUCAUAUGUUGACCAGAGGAGAGCACUUCUAAAACAGACACACAGUCAAUUUGAAAAAUCCCUCCUUUUUGGGACCACCCUCAUUUUGAUAGAUAUCACCAGAUGGGGUGCAAAUGAGACAUUCUGUAUUAGAUGCAAUGCUUUUCCGUAUUGGAACCAUGAUUUAUGUCCUCACUUGUUCACACCUCCUCAUAUGGAAGGUACUUUUCCUAGAUGUCUCAAGAAUGGUAUAAUUACAAGAACACACACGCACACACAUUCUUGUAUUUGUUACCUUCUUGAGACCUGAGAAAAAAGCCUACCACUUUAGGACCACCCUUUCUAGAUGUAUAAAGAUGUGUAUUUACAACAUUAAUAAUAUAUACAUACUAUGCAAAUAUAAAAAAACGCUUGUGAAAAAUGACUUGGAAUUUCACACAAAAAAGGUCAAAAUUUCACAAGAAAAACUGAACAUUUUGGCAGUAUUAUAAUAAAAGACGUAAUUUUACUCAACACAAGUCAAAAUUUACAAGAAAAACAGAACAUUUGUGCAAUAUUGUGAUAAAAGUUUAAAUUUUACUCAAUAACAGUCACAAUUUUACAAGAGAAGCUUGAAAUUUAGGCAAUUUUAUAAAAAUAGUCGUAAUUUUGUUUGACAAAAGUCCCAAUUUUAUAAGAAAACUUUAAAAUGUUGGCAAUGUUAUAACAAUAAUCGGAAUUUUACUUGGCAAAAUGAUGACAAAAGUCAUCAUUUUACUCAAAAAAUGUCACUAUUUUAUAAAAAAAAAGGCAAUAAUGUGAUAAAAGUAGGAAUUAAAAAAAAAAAAGUAAUAAUUCACGAGAACAUUUUGCAAUAUUACGGAAACAGAAACAAUAUGAGAAGUUGUUCCCAUUUUUAUAAGAAAAAAGUCGACAGAUUGUGAGAAAAAGACUGCUUGUAGUUUGUUUUUUUUCCUGAAUUUUUUGUAUGUAGUUGGUUUUUAAUCUUCAUUAUUUAUUUCAAGUUAUUACAGUACCUCUCUAUAGACUUUUUUUUAAUUUUUUUGACCAAAGGGGGCACAUUUCAAUUUCUGAUACACACUUGUUAUUUCAUAUGUUGACCAGAGGGGAACACUUUUAAAACUGACACACAGUCAAUUUGAAAAAUCCCUCAUUUUUGGGACCACCCUCAUUUUGAUAGAUUUCACCAGCUGGGGUGCAAAUGAGACAUUCUGUAUUAGAUGCAAUUGUUUUCCUUAUUAAGACCAUGUUUUAUGUCUGAACUUGUUCACACCUCCUCAUAUGGAAGGUACUUUUCAUGGAUGUCUCAAGAAGAGUACGAUUACAAGAACACGCACGCACACACAUUCUUUUAUGUGUUACCUUCUUGAGACCUGAGAAAAAAGCCUACCUCUUUAGAACCACGCUUUCUAGCUAUAUAAAGAUGUGUAUUUACAACAUUAAUAAUGUAUGCAUACUAUGCAAGUAUAAAAUAGCUUGUUGUGAAAAAAGAGUUGGAAUUUCAAAAAAAAAGGUCAAAAUUUCACAAGAAAAACUGAACAUUUUGGCAGUAUUAUAAUAAAAGACGUCAUUUUACUCAACACAAGUCAAAAUUUACAAGAAAAACAGAACAUUUGUGCAAUAUUGUGAUAAAAGUUUAAAUUUUACUCAAUAACAGUCACAAUUUUACAAGAGAAGCUCGAAAUUUGGGCAAUUUUAUAAAAAGAGUCGUAAUUUUGUUUGACAAAAGUCCCAAUUUUUUAAGAAAACUUUAAAAUGUUGGCAAUGUUAUAACAAUAAUCGGAAUUUUACUUGGCAAAAAAUGUCACUGUUUUAUAAAAAAAAAAAAAAAAUAGGCAAUAAUGUGAUAAAAGUCAGAAUUUUAAAUAAAAAAGCAAUCAUUCACGAGAAAAUUUUGCAAUAUUACGGAAACAGAAAGAAUAUGAGAAGUUGUUCCCAUUUUUAUAAAAAAGCAGUCGACAGAUUGUGAGAAAAAGACUGCUUGUAGUUUGUGUUUUUUUCCUGAAUUUUUUGUUUGUAGUUGUUUUUUAAUCUUCAUUAUUUAUUUCAAGUUAUUACAGUACCUCUCUAUAGACAUUUUUUUUUUGACCAAAGGGGGCACAUUUCAAUUUCUGAUACACACUUGUUAUUUCAUAUGUUGACCAGAGGGGGAGCACUUUUAAAACAGACACACAGUCAAUUUGAAAAAUCCCUCCUUUUUGGGACCACCCUCAUUUUGAUAGAUUUCACCAGAUGGGGUGCAAAUGAGAAAUUCUCUAUUAGAUGCUGUGGUUUUCCGUAUUGGGACCAUGAUUUAUGUCCUCACUUGUUCACACCUCCUCAUAUGGAAUGUACUUUUCUUUAUUGAUGUCUUAAGAAGGUUAGAAAUACAAGAACACACACACACACACACACACACACACACGCACACACACACACACAGGUGACACAUGAGUGACAUGACUGAACUGACUAGAGCUCGGUGACCUUCUUCUUCAUCGCCAUCAUCCGAGGAAGAUGACGUCGUCGCUGUCGGGUGUUCCGAUAAAAGUGACAACAAGUGGGCGAUAACCUUUCCUCUGUCAAGUGUCUGUUCUCCAAAAAAAAAAAAAAAAACACAAAAUGUUAGCAUGUCUAUAACGGCGAUGAGGAUCCAAAUGCUACUGAGCUAAAAGGUCAGCAAAAGGUGACAAACGUUAUGAAAAGUGUCACCUGAUAACACUUUGUUUAAUUUUAGAAGUUUAUUUUACAGUGAAGACCGAUCUCGUAGAAGCUAACCACGCAUAACGACAACAAUGGCCGCCUCGCUAGCCGUGUUAGCAGUUACCAGUGAGGAGGGCACAGAAACUCAAUUCACAUCCGAAUGGCAAUUCUUGUUCAUCCAUGUUGUAAAUACAUUGACAAUUUUCAAAAAUAUAAUAAAAAGUAUUAAUUAAAACAUC